rnacentral:rRNA from 1 species
GACAGAGGAUGCAAGCGUUAUCCGGAAUGAUUGGGCGUAAAGCGUCUGUAGGUGGCUUUUUAAGUCCGCCGUCAAAUCCCAGGGCUCAACCCUGGACAGGCGGUGGAAACUACCAAGCUGGAGUACGGUAGGGGCAGAGGGAAUUUCCGGUGGAGCGGUGAAAUGCGUAGAGAUCGGAAAGAACACCAAUGGCGAAGGCAGCUCGCUGGGACGGUACUGACGCUGAGGCGCGAAAGCGUGGGGAGCAAACAGG